GGCGGGCAGGUCGGUCGCGGUGGGGGCCGGUGUUGCGGGCAGGUGCCUCUGGGGCCGCUCCCUCAUGAGGCCGCAGGACCCGCCGCAGGGUGGCCCCGCCGCCGCCGCGCUGCCGGCGCUGGAGACGCUGAAGCAGCGGGCGUGCGAGAGCGUGGAGCUGAACGCGGCGCGGCUGGGCGAGCUGAGCCGCGACAUCUGGAGCCGGCCCGAGCUGGCCUACGAGGAGCACCAGGCGCACGACACCAUGACCCGCUUCUUCUCCAGCGGGGAGCUGCCCGGCGCCGCCUGGGCCGUGCAGCCGCGCUACAAGCUGGGCACGGCCUUCCGCGCAGAGUGGGGCACGGCCGCGCCCCAGGCACAGGGCCCGCGCCCGCUCCGCGUCGCCUUCCUCUGCGAGUACGACGCCUUGCCCGGCAUCGGGCACGCCUGCGGGCACAACCUCAUCGCCGAGGUGGGAGCCGCCGCCGCGCUGGGGCUGAAGGCCGCCCUGGAGAGCCUGCCGCAGCCGGCGCCCGCCGCCGUCCAGAUCACGGUGCUGGGCACGCCUGCGGAAGAGCAAGGAGGAGGCAAAAUAGACCUGAUAAACGCUGGAGCGUUUGAUGGCCUGGAUGUGGUUUUUAUGGCACACCCCUCGCAAGAAAACGCAGCUUACCUGCCCGAUGUGGCCGAGCACGACGUGACUGUGAAAUACUAUGGAAAAGCUUCUCAUGCUGCUGCUUAUCCUUGGGAAGGAGUUAAUGCAUUAGAUGCUGCUGUUCUUGCAUACAACAAUCUGUCUGUUUUAAGACAGCAAAUGAAACCGACCUGGAGAGUUCAUGGUGUAAUAAAAAAUGGUGGUGUGAAACCUAACAUCAUUCCUUCUUACACUGAGCUGGAGUUCUACUUGCGUGCCCCUUCAAUGAAAGAUCUUUCUGUUCUGAUAGAGAAGGUUGAGAACUGCUUCAAAUCUGCAGCGCUGGCCACAGGAUGCAGAGUGGAAAUAAAAGGUGGUGAAAAUGAUUACUACAACGUGCUUCCAAAUAAGAGCCUGCAGAAAGUUUACAAGGAGAAUGGAAAGAAGCUUGGAAUAGAAUUUAUAUCAGAAGACUGUAUCUUGAAUGGUUUGUCAGGAUAUCAGUUUCUUCUGUUGAAAGGGAAGGAAGAUAGCUCAGUUGCUUCUCCAUGUCUGUGCAGCAGAAAAGUCGUUAACAGAUGAGCAUACUCGCUGCCACCUCUACAUGGGUAUUAGUAUCGGUCUGCUCACAGGUAUCGCUCUAGGCAGCUAAGCAUCACAAAGAAUUCCUUCAGUCCAUCAAAUCGUACUACAUUAUGUGUGCCUUGUGCACACUCCGCUCAUUUGGCACACAGACAUGAUGAUGUGAGAUAAUGUGAAUCUGAGUUAGCUCUGACCAGGUGCCAUAACCUGUUUCUCCUUCUGCUGCGAGGGUGGCUCAACUCCAGGGUAUUGAUAACCUCCCAAAGCAGAUGGCUUAGUUUAGCAUGCCUCAGUUGAGGUACCCACUCUUUUGAUAACUUUAUUUUUAGCAUUCAUGGGCUUCAUUGGCUUCCUGUGAACAAGACUGAUACAGAUGAUCUUAAGGAGCCAGUAUAUUUUGUAAAUACCACUUUUGAAGUUUGAGGCUGUAUAUAAAUGCUUCAUAGAAUCUUCUGCAUUUUCCCUUCCAUUCAUGUUUGUGGUAAUACUGACUUCCAUUACAUGCUCAGUGACUUGAAGAGGCUUCUGUGUCAGCUUCAGGAUAUAUUUUUGAGAGGCUGGAACCUCACUACCUUUCUGUUGAAGAUAGUGCACAAGUCUAUAUAUUGCAUUGAUAACUGUGCAGUUAUUUAUGCCUCUAGAAGGAAUACUGAUUGGUACAUCUCUAGCAAGCGUACAGUUCCAGAUGUUUGUAUGGAAACCACUGGAGUACCUGAUGUUUUAAACAUGGCACUAGGUUAAUACCACCAAAGGUGUAACAUUUUUUUCUGAAAGAAGGGAAGAUUUGGCUGUCACAUUUUUAUGAAAAGCUGUGUGGAUUUUGGCUUGGUAAGCUCUUCAUCCUACUGGAAAAUACCAAGUUUAAAUCCUUUACAUUCAGCAAAAGUAACUUGUGGACUAGUAGUAGAUUGGAUAUGGAUAUAAAUUUAAGUGGAAUUACAUGACCAAGAGCUGGGAUGCACUGAGAUUUCUAAGGCUUCAUUUGCUGAAUGAGAGCAGGGAAAAAGGCCAACAGAGUCUUUCCAGCAGUUCGUGUAUUAGGACUCAGUAAAGCAAGUUUAGAACUUUGGCCUAGUCUGGAGUAGGCAGAACUUCUAGACUUCUGGCUUGUCUUUCCAGACUGUCCAAAGAAUGAAACAGUAGUGUAGACUACUGAAAAUUCAAAUAACUUGUUGCUGUGCCAAGAGUUGCCUACUGAAUUUGUGGGAAAAAAUAAUGGGUUUGGACAAGCAUUGCUGCUUCCAUUUAUAGGCAGAGCAAAAAGCGAGCUAGUCUUGUCCUCUUUGAUCACAUAAUGUAGGCUCUGUGGACUCACUUUUAAUAACUGUAUGCUUCCAAGUAAAAUCUGUAUUCUUCAAUCAUUUCAUUACUGAAUCUUAAGGCAUUAGCAAUAUCUUCUCUCCUUAAAGUACCAUGAUACGGAGGCUACCUAAUGUGUUGAAAAUAACUUUGUAUCUAAAGAAAGUGACUAUAUAAUGCCAUUGCUAAAGGAAAAAAAAAUAUCUUGCAGCUCUGAUUGGCCUGAAAAAAUGUUCAAGGAGAUCUUAGUUGGUCAUCCCUAUUUUCCCCCACCAUGAAACAAUGCUUCUUUUGAUAUCUGAAUUUCACAGUAAUUGAUAUGUUGAUUUCUCUAUUUCUCUGGCUUCUAAAUGUCAUUCUAACAAACAGUGAGUGGGUUGCCUGUUUGGGUAAAAAAAAAAAAGGGGAGAUGGGGAUGCUUGCAAACUCUUCAUGAUUUACUAUGAAGAAUCUACUGCUUCUGGACGAAAUCAUUAGAAAAGGCAAUACUGUGAGAUAGGUACUAUCACUAGCUAAUACCAAAAAUGCUAAGCAUGAAAGCAUUAAAAUCUGCAGCAUUGCUAUCAAGAAUUUUAUGUCUAUAAAGCACCUGCAUCUUGUCUGGAGUUUAGUUCUGAUCUUGUUAUUUCAAGAGUGUUUGUGCUGCUGAGGUUUCCAUAACUGAGAAUAAUCAAAAGGCACAGGAAGAAAACACUUAUUCUCAAUCUGGUUUUGUUUAAAGAUAGAUUGUUCCUACUUCAGAGUCCACUAUCUAAUGCUGAAUAUUUGCAUACUGGUGAAAAGUGGGCUGUAGCAGGAAAAUAGCUGAACUGCCUGAAACUCACAGGGUUUGUGGCUUUCAUUGUUUCUGAAUUAACAGCUUACUAUCAGGAGAUGCUUGAUAAAAACUUAACAGUAAAUGGAAUAGGGACAUGCUGGUAAAUCUUCCGUGCAGUUCAGUAACUGAUUAUUGAUCAUAAGCACAGUGGAGAGCAGCAUCUGAAGAUUACUAGUUAGGGAAAAUAUCUUGGUGAUGGGAGACUUUUGUAUGGAUGACUCACUAGAAAUGCUUUUACUUUAGUAUUUGGGGUAAAGGAUAUUCCAUUUUAGAUAUGGGCUGGAGAUAAUAUCUAUCAUACAUCUUCUUGCAGCAUUCAGAGCUCUUUAACAUUUCAUUAAGAAAAUUUCUAUGCUGCUUCUAGGUUCCACAGACUUUGGAAAUGUUACAUUUGUAGUCCCUGGGCUUCAUCCUUAUUUUUAUAUUGGCUCCGAUGCACUGAACCAUACUGAGCAGUACACAGAAGCUGCAGGGUCACAGAAUGCUCAGUUCUAUGCUUUGCGCACAGCAAAAGCUUUGGCAAUGACAGCACUGGAUGUCAUUUUCAAGCCAGGUCUUCUCGAAGAAGUCAGGGAAGACUUUAGACAGGUGAAGCUAAAAGAAGAGGGGCAGAUAAACCCAGUAGAACCUAACAAAGAAUCUGGAGUUGGCAUAGGAGCAUGUGCAUCACAUUAAACUUUAUUCAACUUCUCUCAGUAGGAUUGACUUCAUGGAGAUGCUGUAUUUAAAUCCCAGAAGGGGCUGGAUAAACAUGUAGCUGAAGAAAUGUCGAAUUUUUUGGGGAAGCUUUAGGAGAAGCAAAUAGUAUCAUUGCUGUCAAAAAUGUGCAAUUUCAUCUAGCUGUAAUGUUUGCUGUAUUCAAUAUGGGGAUGAACUUUGGAGAGAGAUGUCAAAUAUGUUGUCUUUAAAUUGCGGUGUUGAAUAAAAGAUAGUGUUUAGAUCCUAGUCAGUUAUUUUCUAUGUAUUGUUAAAGUAAUAUCCUUUAUAGGGGAAAUACGACAUCUACCUGGAAAUGUUGGUUCUAAAAUAAGCUCUGUUCACUUGGUAAUUAAAGGCUGGAUCAGAUCUAUGAAGCAUUUCUAUCUGGCCAGUCACUUUUUCUUGAGACAAGAUAGAGGCUUAAAAUCUGAGCUGAUUUCACUGGAACGAAGGUUGUAUGUUUGGAAGCUUGCCUGGUUUUGACAAGAGUAACUGCUAGCAAUGGAGGAGAACCAUUUGUAUGUAAAUGGCAUCUAUAAAGGUUGAUUGUCCUGAAAUGCAUUGACCUGCCUCUUAACAGUUUUGGAGGUGUGGAGAAGUCAUUGAUCAACAAAUUGGAAAGCAACUAAAUGUUUAUUUGUUUAACAUGUUUAAACCACUGCAGAAAAAUGCAUGUGCUCCUUUUUUAAGUUGUACUCUAAGGCAGUACCAGUGUGCACACAAGGUGUUGCAGUAGCCUAACUCAUCUGAAGGAUCUGUAUAAAUCUACCUAACGCAAUGGGAAUCUUUUCCACAAAGUUGCAUGCCUGGUACUGUGAAGCAGUAAAUGAAGCUAACCUUGAACUGGUUGUGUGCAAACCACAUAAGCUCUUGAGAAGUUUGCACUGAGGAUUGCUUGUGCAGGAACUGGCUUCUCAAACCUGUUCGUUCCGAUAUCCCAUAAGAUAAGUAGAUGCGUUAAGUUGUGCCAGUUGUCCUUCCUGUGUGUUAGUCUGUUUAAGCCUUGUUAUUUUGCUUCCCAGAAACACUAAUGUUGCAGCUUUUACCUAGGUUGGUGUUCUGUGUGUCCAAACGUUAGGAAUUUUUUUCUAAUUCAGUUUUUAAAGGAUCACUUGAAUACAUAGAGAAGAAACUAAUCUUUUGUUCAGAUACAAAUUGCUGAGUCAAUGCACAGGCUGAGUGAAAAAGCAGCUUACUGGCUAACAUUUUCCUAGGCAUAGGUGUUACAGUAAGCUUUUGAAAAGAAGUCAGGCAAACUGUAUUCCCCAGGAAGCUGGUUACCCAAAAUGAUUUCAGAAAUGGUGUUUUUAACAGAACCAGUCUAUAAAUGGUGAACUCUAGAAUUCUAAUCAGAAUUUAUAUUCUAUUAAUUUCUAUAUUCAAUUUCUAAUUUUGGAAAGAAACAGAUUCCUUAGCUUAACUGUGCACUCCCUCUGCAUUUCUGCACACUUAUUAACAUGGAUCUCCAGCUGCUGUUUAAGAAUUCUUUUAAGACUUUCCCUUCUUAGAGGGGAAAAAAGUAUGACUAUACGGCAUCUAUGUGUUGUGUAGACAACAAUUUGACAGUUUUUAGACUUUCUGAUACUUCAGCCUCUGUGCUUGUACUAAUAGGAUACAGACUGUCUGUCAAAUGUAUUAAAUGUCUUUAGAAAAAGUAACUGCUUAUCUAGGAACCAGAGGCACAGUUAAAGGGGUUUGUUUUGUAUUACAAGCCAGUUAGUUGAAGAGUUGAGCAUGACUGUAAGUACUCCAGGUUCCAAGAUGAUCCGUCCUUACACCAGUGUCCUUGCUUUCAGUAGCAGGCAGGUUUGUCAGAUGAAUACAUGAAACAGGUGAGGGUUGGACUCUUGAGUUGUAGGUAUGUCCAGAAUCAUAAGUUGGAUACUAAAUCCAGCUGAAAUUUGGUCCAAGGUUUGUCAAAGGAACUUUCUCUGCAACUUUUAACUUAACUUGCCAGUUCUCAGACACAGUUACAGGUCAUUAAGUUCUGUUGGGUUAACAAGCUGGUUUGUGAAUUUCCUUAGCAUAAGUGUCUUUUUAUUUCCUUCUGCAUGAACUGCUUACCUUCUUGCUUUGCUAUUUUUAAGAUGGAGUGGUGUGAUCUUAGUGAUUGCAAUACAUGCUGCAUUGUUAUUUCCUACAGGCUGAUGUGUGUUACAGUCUUCUCAGGUCUCUUUGUCCAGACUAGCUGGCUGUUGGCUGCAUCAUGCCCAAGAUCAUUUAAUUAAGCAUUUCUGAAUUAAAAUCAUGUCCUCAUUUUGUUGUAAUCAUUGCUGGAAUUAAAAUGAAACUAAAGUGCUGAUUAAAGAUGAGUUGAUACCAAUAAAGCAAUUUAAUUGUCACUGAA